rnacentral:rRNA from 1 species
UGACCGGAUGCCGAUCUCGAAAACCUGUCCCAGUUCGGACUGGAGUCUGCAACCCGACUCCACGAAGUUGGAUUCGCUAGUAAUCGCGCAUCAGCCAUGGCGCGGUGAAUACGUUCCCGGGCCUUGUACACACCGCCCGUCAAGUCAUGGAAGCUGGGGGUGCCUGAAGUUCGUGACCGGAAGGAGCGACCUAGGGCAAAACCGGUGACUGGGGCUAAGUCGUAACAAGGUAGC